rnacentral:rRNA from 1 species
UACGGAGGAUCCAAGCGUUAUCCGGAAUCAUUGGGUUAAAGGGUCCUAGGCGGUUUUGUAAGUCAGUGGUGAAAGCCCAUCGCUCAACGGUGGAACGGCCAUUGAUACUGCAAGACUUGAAUUAUUGGGAAGUAACUAGAAUAUGUAGUGUAGCGGUGAAAUGCUUAGAGAUUACAUGGAAUACCAAUUGCGAAGGCAGGUUACUACCAAUAUAUUGACGCUGAUGGACGAAAGCGUGGGAGCCGAACGAGG